rnacentral:rRNA from 1 species
GCAGUCGAGCGAACGGAUAAGGAGCUUGCUCCUUUGAAGUUAGCGGCGGACGGGUGAGUAACACGUGGGUAACCUACCUAUAAGACUGGAAUAACUUCGGGAAACCGGAGCUAAUGCCGGAUAACAUAUAGAACCGCAUGGUUCUAUAGUGAAAGAUGGUUUUGCUAUCACUUAUAGAUGGACCCGCGCCGUAUUAGCUAGUUGGUAAGGUAAUGGCUUACCAAGGCGACGAUACGUAGCCGACCUGAGAGGGUGAUCGGCCACACUGGAACUGAGACACGGUCCAGACUCCUACGGGAGGCAGCAGUAGGGAAUCUUCCGCAAUGGGCGAAAGCCUGACGGAGCAACGCCGCGUGAGUGAUGAAGGUUUUCGGAUCGUAAAACUCUGUUAUUAGGGAAGAACAAAUGCGUAAGUAACUGUGCGCAUCUUGACGGUACCUAAUCAGAAAGCCACGGCUAACUACGUGCCAGCAGCCGCGGUAAUACGUAGGUGGCAAGCGUUAUCCGGAAUUAUUGGGCGUAAAGCGCGCGUAGGCGGUUUCUUAAGUCUGAUGUGAAAGCCCACGGCUCAACCGUGGAGGGUCAUUGGAAACUGGGAAACUUGAGUGCAGAAGAGGAAAGUGGAAUUCCAUGUGUAGCGGUGAAAUGCGCAGAGAUAUGGAGGAACACCAGUGGCGAAGGCGACUUUCUGGUCUGUAACUGACGCUGAUGUGCGAAAGCGUGGGGAUCAAACAGGAUUAGAUACCCUGGUAGUCCACGCCGUAAACGAUGAGUGCUAAGUGUUAGGGGGUUUCCGCCCC